GUAUAUUACAAAAACAUCAUAAAUAUUCACAGAGCAGGAGAAACUAAAGCAGUAGAAACCAUCCAAAAUCCAUCAAACCAAGCACUGAUUAGGACUUUCGUAGCCUUUUGUGGCUCUACCUACGAAUAUUUUUGUAGCCUUUUCUAGUGGUUUAUUUACUAAUUACUAUAACUGACUAUUAUUAAACAUCAAGAUCCUUGAGAUAGCUAGUUUUUCUAAACAUACAUGACAGGAAGUAUAUAUAAUAUAUACCAGCCAAUUUCAACCAGCAGUUGUACCCUCAGAAUUUGCAACAGCAGCAGUUCUUGCAGCAACCGAAGUCGCGCCAACAGCAGAAGAAUCCUUUUUCUGCUCGGAUUUAGAUUCUUUUGGUCCUGGUGGUGGUGGCUUAGGCUUCAUGUGAAGAGGAGUAUUGUGUUUGAGUUUCAAAUGUAUUUGGCGCAUUCUCGAGAGAUCGGUCGGUUUCCCGGGCUUUGGACCCUGAAUAACAACAAUGGCAGGCUUCUUCUCCUUGUCUUUCUUCCCUCUUUGUUCAAUGGUUGGAACCUCAUUGGGGAUUAGUUCUGCAAUUGCCUUCCAAUAGUUCUUAUCAGCUUCAGCAUGGAACUUCUCUUGAUUUGCUAGAUAUUGCUUCUCCUUAUCCCUAUUAGAAGCUUUGAUAUUAUCAAGAGCAAGCUUGCGCCUCCUAUAGAAUUCAACUUUAUACUGAUUAGCCUCAUCAAUUAUCUCUUCCAGCAGCUCCUUCUCCCUCUUCUCCUUUUCUUCCAAUCGAAUCGCAUUCAAUCUGCGCCACUCUCUCAAAGGAAAUCCUUCCUCCGGUUCCAUCGCCGUCGGCGACGAGAGGAUCGGGCCGUCCGAUUCGCCAAAACCUCCAUCAAAACCCUCCCCGUUCUGCUGCGGCGAAAAACUCGAGAAUCCUCCAUCCGCCGAGACAUUCGAAGGCCGAGUCGGCGGAAGUUCGUCUCCCUGGUUGAACGCCCGGUUUCGGAAGAUCGGUGAAGAGUCGUCGGCAGAGUCGGCGCCGGACUCGGCUUCGAAAGUAGAAAAUGAUUCGAAUCGUUGAGAAGCGAGGCGAGGUUCGAAUCCGAUGGUGCCGUCGUCGAACGGAGGAGGAGGCGUUC
rnacentral:misc_RNA from 1 species